rnacentral:lncRNA from 1 species
AGCACAUACGGGUAAGACAAGUGAUUGCAGUGGGUGACUAAAGUACUAUAUUGGAGGUGUAGACAUAGAGUAUGGUAGCGUGUACAUUACAUUACAUUUCCUGGAGUGAUCACAGGGACCAUUAAGGAAGAAGUGGUAUUUGAGCUCAGUCUUAACAUGAAGAUUGUUUGCUAGGUAACUGAAGAACACUCCAAGAGGAUGGAAUAAAUGUGUUAAAGCAACAGAGACAUUCAAGAACAUUCAUUAUAUCUGGUGUGCAGUAUGUACAAAAGAGUAAUAAACAAGGAAGCUAUUAAGCUGGGAUGUUCUAGAUCGUGCAGGAAACAGCAGAAGAGAAGAAAGUUGAGAUGAAGAAAAAAAUAUGAACGAAGGCAAUGAAGUAAGGGGAAGAUGGAGACAACUUUUAGGGCUUUUACUAUAGGUUCACUGUUUCUAAUAUAACCAUCAGAAUCUUCUGUCACAAAAGGUUACAUGUUGAUGGAAAGAAUACAGGAAAAUAAAUGAGAUCUAA